rnacentral:rRNA from 1 species
CAGCCGCCGCGGUAAUACGUGGGUGGCAAGCGUUGUCCGGAAUUAUUGGGCGUAAAGGGCUCGCAGGCGGUUUCUUAAGUCUGAUGUGAAAGCCCCCGGCUCAACCGGGGAGGGUCAUUGGAAACUGGGAAACUUGAGUGCAGAAGAGGAGAGUGGAAUUCCACGUGUAGCGGUGAAAUGCGUAGAGGUGUGGAGGGACACCAGUGGCGAAGGCGACUCUCUGGUCUGUAACUGACGCUGAGGAGCGAAAGCGUGGGGAGCGAACAGGAUUAGAUACCCCCGUAGUCCCUGUCUCUUAUAC